UGAUGCCCGCGUCGCGAUAGUA
rnacentral:siRNA from 1 species